UUGGAGGGCAAGUCUGGUGCCAGCAGCCGCGGUAAUUCCAGCUCCAAUAGCGUAUAUUAAAGUUGUUGCAGUUAAAAAGCUCGUAGUUGAAUUUCGGGGUUCUACCGUUGGUCGGGCUAUUGUCUGUACUGGCGUGUAGAAUUUCUACCUUCUGGGGAACUAUCAUGUUAUUAAUUUAGCGUGGUAGGAAACCAGGACCUUUACCUUGAAAAAAUUAGAGUGUUCAAAGCAGGCUUAUGUCUGAAUACAUUAGCAUGGAAUAAUAAAAUAGGACGGUGGUCCUGUUUUGUUGGUUUCUGAAUCACCGUAAUGAUUAAUAGGGAUAGUUGGGGGCAUUAGUAUUCAAUUGUCAGAGGUGAAAUUCUUGGAUUUAUUGAAGACUAACUACUGCGAAAGCAUUUGCCAAGGAUGUUUUCAUUAAUCAAGAACGAAAGUUAGGGGAUCGAAGACGAUCAGAUACCGUCGUAGUCCUAACCAUAAACUAUGCCGACUAGGGAUCGGACGAUGUUAACUUUUCUUGACUCGUUCGGCGCCUUACGGGAAA
rnacentral:rRNA from 1 species